GUAAUCCCAGCACUUUGGGAGGCUGAGGUAGGCGGAUCACUUGAGGUCAGGAGUUUGAGACCAGCCUUGCGAACAUGGUGAAAUCCCGUCUCCACUAAAAAUACAAAAAUCAGCCAGGCUAACCGGCAGGAAGGAGAGGAGGUGAAGGUAUAGGAAGGAAGGCUCCAUGGGAACUAUGGCCUGGUCAAGGGACAAGAUGCACCCCCUCUGCGGCCAGAGGAAGGGGUGCAGCCAGGUCUGUAAGAGCAGCAGGAAAAAACCAUGCGACAGCCUGUCUCAAGGCCAAUCCUAGCCCAGCGUGGCGCAGUAGUGGGUCAGGGAGGGCACCGGAACAGCGCGACCCGACAGCCCGGGAAACGGACAGCCGUGUCAGAAGGGCAGGUGCCAGUGGGCAGGAGGCCGGAGAGAAAGCCGCAGCUUCCUUCCACCUCGCGCCGGGCCCGCGGCCGCGCACGGGGACCGCUCCGAGUUCCUCCCGGCGGGAACCCCCCGCCCCAGAACUUUGGUCUCGU
rnacentral:lncRNA from 1 species